rnacentral:rRNA from 1 species
UCGACUAGACUUACGACAGGCUACACACGUGCUACAAUGGCAUAUACAAAGAGAAGCGACCUCGCGAGAGCAAGCGGACCUCAUAAAGUAUGUCGUAGUCCGGAUUGGAGUCUGCAACUCGACUCCAUGAAGUCGGAAUCGCUAGUAAUCGUAGAUCAGAAUGCUACGGUGAAUACGUUCCCGGGCCUUGUACACACCGCCCGUCACACCAUGGGAGUGGGUUGCAAAAGAAGUAGGUAGCUUAACCUUCGGGAGGGCGCUUACCACUUUGUGAUUCAUGACUGGGGUGAAGUCGUAACAAGGUAACCGUAGGGGAACCUGCGGUUGGAUCACCUCAAGAAAACCU